AUUGAACGCUGGCGGCAGGCCUAACACAUGCAAGUCGAACGAGUGGCGGACGGGGGAGUAAUGGCUGGGAAACUGCCUGAUGGAGGGGGAUAACUACUGGAAACGGUAGCUAAUACCGCAUACCAUCGGAUGUGCCCAGAUGGGAUUAGCUAGUAGGUGUGGUAAAGGCUCACCUAGGCGACGAUCCCUAGCUGGUGUGAGAGGAUGACCAGCCACACUGGAACUGAGACACGGUCCAGGCUCCUACGAGAGGCAGCAGUGGGGAAUAUUGCACAAUUGGCGCAAGCCUGAUGCAGCCAUGCCGCGUGUAUGAAGAAGGCCUUCGGGUUGUAAAGUACUUUCAUCGGGGAGGCGUUACCCGCAGAAGAAGCACCGGCUAACUCCGUGCCAGCAGCCGCGGUAAUUC
rnacentral:rRNA from 1 species